CAACCAAAGCUGGCGACCGGCGCACGGGUGAGUAACACGUAUCCAACCUGCCUCAUACUCGGGGAUAGCCUUUCGAAAGAAAGAUUAAUAUCCGAUAGCAUAUAUUUCCCGCAUGGGUUUUAUAUUAAAGAAAUUCGGUAUGAGAUGGGGAUGCGUUCCAUUAGUUUGUUGGGGGGUAACGGCCCACCAAGACUACGAUGGAUAGGGGUUCUGAGAGGAAGGUCCCCCACAUUGGAACUGAGACACGGUCCAA
rnacentral:rRNA from 1 species